CAGCAGCCACGGUAGUACGUAGGGUGCGAGCGUUAAUCGGAAUUACUGGGCGUAAAGCGUGCGCAGGCGGUUAUAUAAGACAGAUGUGAAAUCCCCGGGCUCAACCUGGGACCUGCAUUUGUGACUGUAUAGCUAGAGUACGGUAGAGGGGGAUGGAAUUCCGCGUGUAGCAGUGAAAUGCGUAGAUAUGCGGAGGAACACCGAUGGCGAAGGCAAUCCCCUGGACCUGUACUGACGCUCAUGCACGAAAGCGUGGGGAGCAAACAGGAUUAGAUACCCCGGUAGUCCCUGUCUCUUAUAA
rnacentral:rRNA from 1 species